rnacentral:rRNA from 1 species
UACGGGGGGGGCAAGCGUUGUUCGGAAUUACUGGGCGUAAAGGGCUCGUAGGCGGCCAACUAAGUCAGACGUGAAAUCCCUCGGCUUAACCGGGGAACUGCGUCUGAUACUGGAUGGCUUGAGUUUGGGAGAGGGAUGGCGGAAUUCCAGGUGUAGCGGUGAAAUGCGUAGAUAUCUGGAGGAACACCGGUGGCGAAGGCGGCAUCCUGGACCAACACUGACGCUGAGUGAGCGAAAGCCAGGGGAG